AUUGAACGCUGGCGGCGGGCUUAACACAUGCAAGUAGAGCGAGCGGCGGGCGGGUGAAUCAUGUCUGGGAAACUGCCUGAUGGAGGGGGAUAACUACUGGAAACGGUAGCUACUCCCGCAUACCAUCGGAUGUACCCAGAUGGGAUUAGCUAGUAGGUGGGGUAAAGGCGAACCUAGGCGACGAUCCCUAGCUGGUCUGAGAGGAGGACCAGCCACCUUGGAACUGAGCCACGGCCCAGACUCCUACGGGAGGCAGCAGUGGGGAAUAUUGCCCAAUGGGCGAAAGCCUGACGAAGCCAGGCCGCGUGUAUGAAGAAGGCUUUCGGUUUGUAAAGUACUUUCAGCGGGGAGGCGUUACCCGCAGAAGAAGCACCGGCUAACUCCGUGCCAGCAGCCGCGGUAAUAC
rnacentral:rRNA from 1 species